rnacentral:lncRNA from 1 species
CUAUUAUCUAUCUUCUACAAAAGAGAGCAGGUCCUCAGUUUCUGCAACUUGAUUGACUUCAGUAAGUUUAAUAUAACCAAAGAUUUGAUUUUGUAUUUGGAGUCUUUCUGUUGGGGUCUUUUUCAAUCAGUUUUCACCUGUUGCAGAUGUGAAUUUCAGCUCACCAUCCUGAAGGGCCUUUCCAUACUAGCCAAAGACAAAAAAGAGGAAAUCGUGGGGAAGAUUUGCAUAUACAAGUUCAUGAAAACAGGCAGCAAGGAAGACAAGGGCCCCAGCCGUGCCUUCCACAAUGGAUACGACUACAACAUGAGCCUCACCAGGCAGAGGUGCCAGUCUAGCAUUAUCUGCUAUGAUCUAAGAAACACUUCACUCCUGCUUCAGGUGCAUUUUGUUUUAGAACUGAAAUACUUUGGUGGGCAAGAGAGGGUUUAAAAGAAAAGGAGCACCCAGACUGCUUGCCUAUCUGAGAUCUUGUUCCACUAGCCAGGUGGCUUUUG